UAAUUUUCUUUCUAGGCUCAAUCAUGGAACAGGUUUCCCAGAGAGGUUAUGGAUGCCACACCUCUUCACAUGAACACUUGCAGGUGUUGGAUUGGGCCCUGGCAGCAAGCUACAACACUUUCUAAGAUGGAGAGAACCAGCAAAACAAUAUUUGACAGGAACAUGAGUUCCAUUUACAGAGCUCAGAGGGAAACUGGAGUUCAUAAAGUGAAAAGUCUUCGAGGCCAAUGGACAAUGAAAGCCACAGACAGAAUUGCAACCGUUCUCUGGUUCUCAUUUCAAAAGGAGCAUCCACCAAAUGUGAAGCAAAUCUGGAGGUGCUGCUCUUGUGGUAGACAGUUCUCUGCCAUAUAUUUUAUUUCUGAAAAGAUCUCAUUUUUCAUACCAAACUUUUCAUUGUUGCUGUGCUUUCCCUUGGAAGAAGAAACUGAAUUUAAUUGCAGUCUAAAGCCUUGCCGGAAUCUGGUCAGAAACCUCAGCUGAAUUACUCGUACAAGGAAAGUCUCCUGCUAUGCACACUGCUGUCCUCACCCUUUGGGCCAGUGAAUGGAUCAGAUUCAUUACAGCAUCAACUGUCCCCACUCCUAGGUCAGAAAAAUUAGUAUCAGAGACAGUUACUGCAUAUAGGGGUGAGCAUCAGAAGUGAAAAUUACCCUCAUUAGAAUGGCUCUCAAAAGGGGCAGCCAAAGGGAA
rnacentral:lncRNA from 1 species